UACGUAGGGGGCUAGCGUUGUCCGGAAUCAUUGGGCGUAAAGCGCGUGUAGGCGGUCCGGUAAGUCCGCUGUGAAAGUCGAGGGCUCAACCUCGAAUGCCGGUGGAUACUGUCGGGCUUGAGUACGGGAGAGGCGAGUGGAAUUCCUGGUGUAGCGGUGAAAUGCGCAGAUAUCAGGAGGAACACCGAUUGCGAAGGCAGCUCGCUGGAACGUUACUGACGCUGAGACGCGAAAGCGUGGGGGAGCAAACAGG
rnacentral:rRNA from 1 species